GUGCCAGCAGCCGCGGUAAUACGUAGGGUGCGAGCGUUGUCCGGAAUUACUGGGCGUAAAGAGCUCGUAGGUGGUUUGUCGCGUUGUUCGUGAAAUCUCACGGCUUAACUGUGAGCGUGCGGGCGAUACGGGCAGACUAGAGUACUGCAGGGGAGACUGGAAUUCCUGGUGUAGCGGUGGAAUGCGCAGAUAUCAGGAGGAACACCGGUGGCGAAGGCGGGUCUCUGGGCAGUAACUGACGCUGAGGAGCGAAAGCGUGGGGAGCGAACAGGAUUAGAUACCCUGGUAGUCCACGCCGUAAACGGUGGGUACUAGGUGUGGGUUUCCUUCCUUGGGAUCCGUGCCGUAGCUAACGCAUUAAGUACCCCGCCUGGGGAGUACGGCCGCAAGGCUAAAACUCAAAGGAAUUGACGGGGGCCCGCACAAGCGGCGGAGCAUGUGGAUUAAUUCGAUGCAACGCGAAGAACCUUACCUGGGUUUGACAUGCACAGGACGCGUCUAGAGAUAGGCGUUCCCUUGUGGCCUGUGUGCAGGUGGUGCAUGGCUGUCGUCAGCUCGUGUCGUGAGAUGUUGGGUUAAGUCCCGCAACGAGCGCAACCCUUGUCUCAUGUUGCCAGCGGGUAAUGCCGGGGACUCGUGAGAGACUGCCGGGGUCAACUCGGAGGAAGGUGGGGAUGACGUCAAGUCAUCAUGCCCCUUAUGUCCAGGGCUUCACACAUGCUACAAUGGCCGGUACAAAGGGCUGCGAUGCCGUAAGGUUAAGCGAAUCCUUUUAAAGCCGGUCUCAGUUCGGAUUGGGGUCUGCAACUCGACCCCAUGAAGUCGGAGUCGCUAGUAAUCGCAGAUCAGCAACGCUGCGGUGAAUACGUUCCCGGGCCUUGUACUCACCGCCCGUC
rnacentral:rRNA from 1 species